rnacentral:lncRNA from 1 species
GGGCUUUGCACUUGGGUUUCUUUGGGAGGUAAAAGCUGGCGUGUGACCCAAUUUAUCACUUGGGAGCCUUCAGUUCAUCUCAGCUUCCUUAAUCCCCAAGUAGUGACUUUCCUGGGUCUGCUGGAGCUUGGUAUCCAGGACAGAGCAUGUGCUGUUUCCCACUGGGGCUGAUCCUAUCAAUCUUGCUUCUGGAAACGCUGUCAAGACUGGGGCGCCUGAAAGGGUAGCCACAGUGGCUCUCUCGACUAGCCUGCUAUGCCAGCCGGGGGCCCACAGGCAGACACUGUAUGUAGCCCAUUGCCCUCUGCUCUGGGAUAACAAAGCCAGGGCAAGAGGACAAAAGAGCAAGCUGCUCCCAUUUGUAAUUCAGAAGACCAGAAAUUCACAUUCCUGUAGCCAACACUAUUUGGUUUGAAGAAAGACAGCUUACACAGUGAGCAGGGGGCUAUUUCUGCUCCACUCCCAUCCAGUGUACAAGCCCAGAAGACCCUUUUGGGUGGAUUGGGCACCCCCAUCUCUGUCUUAGUCCUAGUCUAGGAGGCUUGUCAUAGCCUUUCUCCCAUGCCUGUGCUCUUUGGCUCCUACCAGCAGGAAGCUGUGCUUUUUUCCUUGGCCCUGAAAGCUGUGGGAAGGUAGAAACUGGGGUUCUGAGUCCCUGGGCGACUGGGCCUGGGUCUUACCUCCCCCACCCCUCCUUACUCCUUACCCAGCUAGUGUUCUGGAGAUGGCUGCACUUGGAGCUUGAAUGCCCUGCACUUUACUCAAAGACAGCCCAGACCUUAAACAGCCAUACUCCCCAUGCAAACCCUCCCCUGUCUACCCUGUGCAGACUCCUGGUGUGAUCAAUUGGGGAGCUGGGCUAGGAAGAUUGCUGAGUGGACCAACAUGUCUGUUAGAACACACACAUACACACCUGGCUUCCUGAAGCCAGAGGAGAGAAUGGUCGAUAGUAGGACUGUGGCCGAGGUUCCUCCAGUUCAUCUGCAAAAAUAUGUUGGCAGGUGGUCAUACAGACAUUUACAGUGUUGACCCUGGGCCAGACACUGGGAACAGUGCUUAUGAAAAGAAGGGGCACAGUCCCUGCUUGCAAAGACCUCAGUCUAUUGGGAAAGGUGUGGCUUCCCUUCCCCCAGAGUGAAAUGACAGCCAGACUCCUCUCCCUGAAGCAGUGGCUUGUGGCUGAUGCAAGCCUUGUUUAGGAUGGGCUGACCCACCUGGAAGGUGAGCAACUGGGAACAGGCCCAGAUAACCUUGACUCCACCCUAAUAGUUGCCUUCACAACCCACGGCUGAUGCCCUCAUCCCUGGCAACUUGACCUGCCCCAUCUCCAACCUCGGCUACCAGGUUACCUCAGCAAACAAACCCCCAGAAGCCAGUGGAGUGAGUCAGAGCCUUGGGUCCCUCACCAAUCCUUGGUUCCCACACCCAGGAAUUCAGUGCCCAAGAUGCAUGUCUGGAUGCUUCAGGCAAGAGGAGACACUGGGACCUGGUCUGGCUUCUACCAGGAAAGAGUCAACUAGAUGCCAGGUUUCCAGACACAUAUGAGAGAGCCAGGAAACUGUGGGGUG